GGUGAUGGCCACACCAUCCUGAACACACCUGAUCUCGUCUGAUCUUGGAAGCUAAGGAGACAGGCUUGGAGGAAGGUACAUCAUGCAUGUCCAGGAGCUCACCA
rnacentral:rRNA from 1 species